UUGGUUUGACGUCACGCGCUUCCUUACCUGCUCGCAACUUGCAAGCAGCAGGCAGCGUCAAAACAUGGCGAGAGACGCGUUGGAUUUUAAAUAAUCUUAACAAAUUUUCCUGUUCUUCUGCGGUUCUUAUGGCGGCAGCGCGGAAAACGUGGCGAAAUCAUACAAAGAAGAACGAACUACACGAAUUGAAUUAUUAAGCCUUCAACGAUCGGCUGUCUCCCGGCCGCGGGAAGCACAUGUGCCUCAACUCCCUUGUACAUCGGAAGAAAAAAACUGGCAAAUUCAAUUUCAAGAAUUUUACAUCUGUGCCAGAUUUUGUUCAGCAGCGGGAAGCGGCUAAUUCAGACGGGGGGCCUCCGAAUUUUGAAUAGUUAAGUUUUGUACAAUUUAAUAUUGUUAUCAACAAAAAUUUAAUUAUUUAGAUUUUUC